GUGAAUCAUAUAUAAUUUGUGUGUUAUGACCAUUCUUCUUUUACCUCUUUCCAGUGGGAUAAGAACAUGUAUGAUCAAUGUUUAAUGCUUUUAUUUUGCUUUUUCACUUGAUUGCAUGAUAUAUAAUUCAAUACAUUCAUUUAUCAGUUAUGUCAAUUUAGAACUGAGUAGUAACACUUUGUUGCUGCAUAGUUAAAAGAUACAAAUUUGACAAUGUUAUUUAAGGGAUAGGAGACAGAAAUUGUAAACUUGUUUUCAGUUUGCUGUAACCUAUAAUGUUUGCCAUGUCACUUGCAGUUUCUUGAUCUUAGCUCAUUGCAAGCUGCUCUGCCCGAUGCAUAGUUACAACCCACUUUCCAUAGUGGUAUUGCCGAACCAUGGCUUCCUCAAAAUUCAGUUAACUCUUACAUCUCCUCUGCUGGACAAGGUGGUGGUUUGACAUUCUUGGCUGCUCAACCACCAAGUUCUCAAAUAUCAUGCUCUGUAUCCUUUAUGCAAAGGGGGAAGGCCUUCUAUGACUUCCAGUUCACCACAAGGCCUUGUAAAAUCCCCAAGUCUUGUGUACGAUCUAAGGCUAGGAAGUUUGACAGGGCUAGAGGAAGGAGAAAUAACAAAGGACUUAGGGUUUAAGUUGUAUUGUUUUUAUAUUUUAUUUCAGUUUUUAGUUUUAGAAUUUGAACUCGAGAUGUAUUUUGUAUUUGAGUAGUAGUUUUUUAAUGUAUAAAACA